UGGGGAAUUUUGGACAAUGGGCGCAAGCCUGAUCCAGCCAUGCCGCGUGAGUGAAGAAGGCCUUCGGGUCGUAAAGCUCUUUCGCAAGGGAAGAAAAGCUCCUUAAUAACACUAGGGGGUCAUGACGGUACCUUGAUAAGAAGCACUGGCUAACUACGUGCCAGCAGCCGCGGUAAUACGUAGGGUGCGAGCGUUAAUCGGAAUUACUGGGCGUAAAGCGAGCGCAGGCGGUUUUGUAAGUCAGAUGUGAAAUCCCCGGGCUCAACCUGGGAACUGCGUUUGAAACUGCAAGGCUAGAGUGUGUCAGAGGGAGGUAGAAUUCCACGUGUAGCAGUGAAAUGCGUAGAGAUGUGGAGGAACACCGAUGGCGAAGGCAGCCUCCUGGGAUAACACUGACGCUCAUGCUCGAAAGCGUGGGGAGCAAACAGG
rnacentral:rRNA from 1 species